CGGAUUGAAGGCUGAAAUUCGCCUUCCAUGAAGCCGGAAUUGCUAGUAAUGGCAGGUCAGCAUACUGCCGUGAAUACGUUCCCGGGCCUUGUACACACCGCCCGUCAAACCAUGAGAGUUGGCAACACCCGAAGUCGGUAGUCUAACCGCAAGGAGGACGCCGCCGAAGGUGGGGUUGAUGAUUAGGGUUAAGUCGUAACAAGGUAGC
rnacentral:rRNA from 1 species